UACGGGGGGGGCAAGCGUUGUUCGGAAUUACUGGGCGUAAAGGGCUCGUAGGCGGCCAACUAAGUCGGAUGUGAAAUCCCCAAGCUUAACUUGGGAACUGCAUUCGAGACUGCAUAGCUAGAGUAUGGGAGAGGGAAGUGGAAUUUCAGGUGUAGCGGUGAAAUGCGUAGAUAUCUGAAGGAACAUCAGUGGCGAAAGCGACUUCCUGGACCAAUACUGACGCUCAUGUGCGAAAGCGUGGGGAGCAAACAGG
rnacentral:rRNA from 1 species